AUUGAACGCUGGCGGCAGGCCUAACACAUGCCAGUCGAGCGGAUGAAGGGAGCUUGCUCCUGGAUUCAGCGGCGGACGGGUGAGUAAUGCCUAGGAAUCUGCCUGGUAGUGGGGGAUAACGUCCGGAAACGGGCGCUAAUACCGCAUACGUCCUGAGGGAGAAAGUGGGGGAUCUUCGGACCUCACGCUAUCAGAUGAGCCUAGGUCGGAUUAGCUAGUUGGUGGGGUAAAGGCCUACCAAGGCGACGAUCCGUAACUGGUCUGAGAGGAUGAUCAGUCACACUGGAACUGAGGCACGGUCCAGACUCCUACGGGAGGCAGCAGUGGGGAAUAUUGGGCAAUGGGCGAAAGCCUGAUCCAGCCAUGCCGCGUGUGUGAAGAAGGUCUUCGGAUUGUAAAGCACUUUAAGUUGGGAGGAAGGGCAGUAAGUUAAUACCUUGCUGUUUUGACGUUACCAACAGAAUAAGCACCGGCUAACUUCGUG
rnacentral:rRNA from 1 species